CAUAACGGAGCUUGUUCGAGAAAUUAGUUAACGGUUCGAAUUAAUGGAAAAUUAAUUUGCGGUUACUGAGCUGUAAAGAUUGAUGAUGAUUUUCAUAAAUGUAAAAUGAUGAAUUGUUAAGCAGAAGAUUAAUUUAUCAAGUAUGUGACGUUAAUGUUUUUGUUGCUAUAAUUUGUGAAGAAUUACAUGUGAAGAUAAUUUGUUGGGACUUAAGUGCAUAAUGUUUUCCCUUCGUCACCAGGAGACUCUGCACGUGGUGCACACCUUCUAGGGUACAAUACGACACGGUGGGAGAGAAAGUCGACCCAUAAUACUGUAAAUAGAUACAAAUCCGAGCAGGGAAUACAGAGAACAAGGGACCAAUAAUAUAAACAAAUACUUUGGAUUUACGGAAAAGGUAAGAAAUUCUUUUUCAAUAUCUUUUCCUCUGCACGUGAUAUUUCAGUAGUGCUACGGUAAAAAAAUUCAGGAUUUAUCACCAUCUACAGUUUCAGCUGAACUAUCCUAAUGUAAAUACGCUGAUGAGUGCUAAAAGUUGAAAGCCUCAGCAGUGGAAAGUUGGCUUAGUAUUUGGCGGCAUUUGAGCCCCUUAGUGUGCCCGAUUGCUGUAAUCCGAGUGGCUGCACUCUUCAUUUCAGGGCUUCUGACUUUCCAGAAGUUGCAAUGCCACUUCCACCAGGCUGAUCACCUAAUCAUCACUUCCUCCAUCAAAACAAAUACUCGAAUACUCAGGGCAUUGUCAUGGACACGUAUGAUACCCUCGCUUGUCACGUCCACGAGAAAGAAGCCAAUUGCGAAAGUGUGCUGUUGCAAAAUGCACCAACGCGCAUCGAGACUAGGCCUAGGUUGUACAUUACAGCGAUACUUCACUUCGCCCGACAGUCCAUGUUUUCCUGAACCGAGGCCACGAUCACGUCCGCAAUUGCAUUGACGCUAAUGCAAUAAUCAGGAGUACGCCAUAACUUGUACUUUCAGUUUAACAAUAAUUACGUCAGGACGAGUGGAUCGAUGAAAAUUGAGAAAUUAUUUCAAUAUUGUCAAGAGUACAAUACGAUAUUCAGUAGAUGAAGGGAAUUCUCGGGCUUUGAAUCGAUGACGAAAUUGUUUUGCAUUAUUAUUUGCGUUGAAAAUUGUAUUUUUCUUUAUCAAUUUUAUCCCGAAGGAAAUUUACGCAGAGAAAAGUCGAAAAAUUACGGUGACAGGCACUAGAAUAAAAAAAAAAACUAGAAUACUAGAAUGUUUUAUUUAUGCAUAAAAAUUCCUAUCAAUACCAUAAAUGUUGUAAUAGAUUUUAUAAUUAAUGAUCUGUGGCUUCGUAAAAUUUACGAAACACCUCUAUAAAAUUUGAAGGUCUAUAAUUUUUCAUUUGAUUUUAAAUGAAAAAUCGAUAGAAAUUCUUCAAAAGUUUCUAUCCAGAUUAUUUAUUUAUUUCAUUGUGUCUUCCUUCAUUUUUUUUAUUGUACCGUACAGUAAUCUUUCGAUAACUCAUUCUGAUUGGUUAACGAUGAGCGCCGAAUACAUCCGAUUAUUCCCGACGUUGGACUCCCUCAGAUCUGUAGCAUCAGCCGUUUGGUGUUCAUCUCCUCGUAGCCAUUAGACUUUGAACUUUUACGAGACUGACAUAGAAGUUUUCGUAAGCCGAUAAAGAAAUUUUAUCGAGCGACAUAGUAAUUUACAUCAUAAUGACACUAUACAAAUUCCCAGAUUUUUCUCUCCAUGUGAAGACAAUUUGUUGGCUUUUGUAUCGAUGAAGAAAUUAUUUUCCAUGAUUAUUUACGUAGGAAAUAUAUUAUUUACCUCCAGCGAUCUUAUCCCGAAGGAAAUACUAUUUCAGUCUGUACCGAAGGUGUUGCAAAAUAGUCAUCUAAUGAGAUCGACUCGCCGUUAGUUCGACCGAGCGAGUGAAUAGUUUUCUUAUUACUUGUACGAGAAUAGAAAUACCCGCAAACCAUGACUCUCCCUAUGAUCUUACCGCACAUUGCCAACGCAUUUGGUAUUAUAUUUGUGCUUGUCCCUCGGAUAAGGCAUUACAAUGCAAAAUAUAUUCAUGGGAAGUAAUAACGUCCGAGGAAAUCGGUAGAUUUCGACAUUUUUUCCUCAACACGAAACCGACUCUUUUACAGUUUACGGAUUUCCGGAUUCAAAAAAGGUUUAUUAUGAUUCGUUAAAAGUUCCCAAGUAGGAAUUAAUAAUUAGGGUAAGCUUAUUAGGACCAGCCUUGGACCAAGAAGGUCAGUUUGGUCCAAAGGUAAGGCCCAACACUGGCCCAACAGUGCAAACCAGGCCUGACCCAACUGCUCUAAACCAACGUCUGACGUCAACCAGGCGUUGGAAUUAAACAGACUGGACAUCAAAGGUAACACAUUUAGAUUAUUUUUCAUUUAUAACAUUGUUAUAAAAAUUUACUAUCAAAUAGUUUAACGGAUCUACUUCACGGACUUAUACUCUAGCAAACGUGAACGCUGGUUCUACGAUUCCAAGGUACCUCGCCGAAGUAUUUCAUGGGUUAACAGAGCUCGCUGAGACUAUUACCAUCUGGCCUCGGUCAAACGUGAAGGAUUGAUACAUCCUGCCGUUUGUGGAUGUGGUCAUCCGAGUGAGGACCUUGAUGAUGUCUUCUGGAGAGCAGUACAGAUAUCCCAUGAUCCACGUUCUUCGCUGGGACACUUGGACACUUACCCCCAUACCAAAGUCAAUUAUUCUUAAAAGACCUCAAUGAGGAAGGUUUAGUAACUAUAAACAAUUUUUUAAAGAAAUGUAAUAUAAAUGUGUAACUGCUCAACUCCUGAACAUAUGAUAACAAAAAACUAAUUUUGCUAACUCCAAAUUACUUCUGUAAACACAUGUUUGUGGCUUUAUAAACCUGUAGGUUUCAGAUGUAAGUUUAAAUUAAACAGGCAAUUUAACAUAAUGUGUAAAAAACUUCGUAUUGCGUACAUUAAGUCGUGCAGAUGAUGCCUAUUUAAUUAAUAAUAACCAUUAACAUAAAACAAUUGUUAAUUUUUUUUAAUGAAAAUGAAAAAUAAUCGACUUCAAUCAGUUUUCCAUAAUUUAAUGGCUCCAUUGGUAUGACAAU